rnacentral:lncRNA from 1 species
GCAUAAUAUACCAACUAGAUUGAACAAACGAAGGCAAUAUUCUGAAUAACAUCAUUCUCACAGUUAAACGUCAGUUUCAAAGCAGGGCAUUUGAAGACAUAAAAGCAAAAGUGAAACAGUUGAAUCAUUUCUAAGUUCCCCUGAUUAUCUUCGAAUUUGUUUGAGGUGAAUAUCACAUGUCCCUUGCUGCAAUUAAGAAAAGUCUAUUUGAUUCCUGAAGCAACAAGGUUGUUCAUCACUGAUGUAAAAUUGUAGCUAUAUCAGGCUAUUGGUCCAUAAUAAAACAUAGAGAGAAAAAGUUGCAAAAGAGAGUUGUCCAAAAUUGCUACUAUGGAUCCUGUCUGCAGAGAACGUACAGCGCUGCUAAGACAUGCACAUCCUUCUGAACUCUGGUUCUCUAUUCAUCUUGUGAAGAAAAGGAUGAAGCUGUCCAGCUCUUCUGUUCAUUGCGAAUCAAGAAUGAGUAAGACACUCUGCUCUAAAGUGGUUGUGAUGCAUAUUUUGAGUGGCAGAAGAGACCCUCCAGGGUUUCUAGCAGACAACAGAAGUGGACAGGCUCAGAAUCAUCAAAGGGAAGAACAAGAAUGUACAAAGAAAUGGCAUUAUGAUCAAGAGAUGCAAUUUCACAAAAUGAUGCCUAUACCUUUUUUUUUUUGAAGAUUCUCAGGCACCAGGCAGCUGAAACCAUUGAAGACUGGUUUGAAGACAAGCAGACCUGAAGUACAAGAAAGGCACAUGUGGGAAAAAUUAUUUCACUCGUUCUUUUGGGGAUAUACUCUGGAACUGCACAAUGUGCAAUAGACCAAAACUGAAGAGAAGAGAGGGCAGCAGUUAUAACCUGAGCAAACACUGGGAACAUCGAAGAAAAAAGGCAG